rnacentral:lncRNA from 1 species
GGGAAAAUCGGGGAAAAAAGGCGGGAAAAUCGGGAAAGAAUUGCUGGGAAAAGCAGGGAAAAAAGGCGGGAAAAUCAGGAAUUAUUGGCGGGAAAAUCAGGGAAGAAUUCCCGGGAAAAUCGGGGAAAAAAGUUAGGAAUUAUUGGCGGGAAAAUAGGGAAAGGAUUGCUGGGAAAAACAGGAAAAAAAGGCGGGAAAAUCAGGAAUUAUUGGCGGGAAAAUCAGGGAAAUAAAGGCGGGAAAAUCAGGGGAAAAAAGGCGGGAAAAUCGGGAAAGAAUUGCUGGGAAAAGCAGGGAAAAAAGGCGGGAAAAUCAGGAAUUAUUGGCGGGAAAAUCAGGGAAGAAUUCCCGGGAAAAUCAGGGGAAAAAGACGGGAAAAUCAGGGGAAAAAGGUGGGAAAAUUGGAUUUUGGGCCGGAAUCCCAGGAUUUUUGGCCGGAAUUCCGGGAUUUUUCCAACUCACCGCCGGCCCGGGAGGUCCCGCGGGGCCCUCGGAUCCUUUCAAGCCUCCCCCUCCCUGGAAAAGAAAAAUUCCCGGGAAUUUUUUUUUCCCGGAAUUUUUUGGGAAUUUUUUGGGAUUUUUUGGGGGAUUUUUUUGGAAUUUUUUGGGAUUUUUUUGGGAAUUUUUUGGGAUUUUUUUGGAUUUUUUUGGGAUUUUUUUGGAAUUUUUUUGGGAUUUUUUUUGGAAUUUUUUUGGAUUUUUUGGGAAUUUUUUUGGGAUUUUUUGGGAAUUUUUUUGGGAUUUUUUGGGAAUUUUUUUGGGAUUUUUUGGGAAUCUUUUGGGAAUUUUUUGGGAUUUUUUGGGAAUUUUUUGGGGAUUUUUUGGGAAUUUUUUGGGAUUUUUGUGGGAUUUUUUUGGGAAUUUUUUUGGGAGGAUUUGAGGGGUGGGAAUUUUUUGGCUGGAUUUUGGGUGAAAUUUGGGAUUUUUGGGUCACUCACGGCGUCUCCUCUCUGCCCGGGGUGUCCUGGAAUUCCGUCUUUUCCGGGGGGUCCCUUGGAAAAACCAAAUUUUCCCAAAUUUCUGGGAUUUUCCC